UAGUUUAUUAGCUUGACUUCACCACCUGUGAAGGUAUCUCCAGAGGUAAAUUGAUUAAAUAGCUACCUCUUUUGAAUUGUCAACUGUCUGUAUUGUAUCAGGACCUUUAUGAUGCAUAUGAUAUUUAUUUGUAAAUGCACAGCGUAAUUAUAUAUAUUUUUAUCUUGGUAGACGACCGAUAGCCUGCUGGUUUGUUAGCUCGACUUCGCCAUGUGAAGGGUGAUGUUCAGCACAUGAAGCCCUACAGAUGCCGCCGCUUCAACAAUGCUGAUUAUGAUGGGCGGUGAAUUUAACCUUUGCCUUAUUAAGUCCUCCACAGUAGCCCCAUCAGUCCCUGGCAGUCUGGUCCCUGGAGCAGCUGGCCCUGGAUCACCUGGCCCUGGAUCACCUGCCCCUGGAUCACCUGCCCCUGAAUCACCUGCCCCUGGCAAAGUGGCCUCUUGAUUGCUCUCUCUGUCAUGUCCUUUUCAUCGCUCUUGAAAUCCACCUCAAUUUCUCCCUCAAUCUCUGCAACAAUUACAAGGUAAUGUUGCUGUUAUAUGUAUUUUCCCUUUGCAUUUGCAACUACUGUCAUCUCCAAUGUAAGGCAAUGUUAGAAAAUUAAUUAAAGCAAAACAUUUCUGUAAUGUGAAUUAAAUCAUCUGCCACAAUCAGAAACCAAUGAAAUAUAAAUGGAUCUACCGGCAAUUGUUAAUUGGGUAGAAAUGCGUCGAUUAUCUACAUUUUGUGCAAAUUCUCAGAGAAUCCCUGACCUCUGGUUGAUUCUUAAACUGAAUGUACAAAUAUGAAUUAUGUAAUCUCAUUAGGAGUGUAGUCUAUCCUUGAAUUACAUGAAAUGGGGAAUAUUGUUAGCUGCAUGGAUCAUACUGAAGUUUAAUUUGGCGCAAUAUGUGUGGUCCGUUGCACUUGGUUCUGGAGGCACCCUCACAGAAGUGGGUUUCCUCCUCUUCGGCUUAGGGCGAUGAAUGAAAACUGUUGGAACUGCAUCGGGCCUCAACUUCAACAUCCCUUCUCUUUUUGUGGCAGUGAAUUGGUCAUCUUCAAAGUGUACCUGUAGGUAGGCUUGUAAGAUCAGUUUUCAUUGCACUUCAAAUAUCAUUGAAAAGUCAUAAUUCUCUACACUUAGAAUCAUUAUGCCCUUUGAAAUGCUAUCAAGUGAUGCGAACAUUACUUACAUAACAUAGUUUUUGACUGUUGCUGACCCCUGUCACUUGUACGUUUUGACGGCUGACCAUUGCCAUCCAUUUCUUCCUGCGCUCUUGGUCCUUGGGGAAGCCAUACAUGUGGUAACCCUUCUCGGACCGAUUGGAGCAUCCAUACACUGCACAGCCAACCAUGGUAUGACCAUUGAUCUAAACCAAUUUUGAAUUUGCUCAGG
ensembl:lncRNA